rnacentral:sRNA from 1 species
AAAUUAAUUUAGUGAAACGAUUGACAACGCACCCUCUUAUGCAAGUAUAAUAUAUAAUAGAUAAAAAA